rnacentral:misc_RNA from 1 species
GUUUGUUUUGAGUGUCUAUCGGCGGCUAUCAGCUCAACCCAAAAGCUAAACCAACACCCCCGUAGUAUCCUGAUUCUGGCUGGCAACCCAAGCUCUUUGGUCUUUAGCCCUGUUCCUGUUAUUGGUUGUUUGGAUUAGUCUCUUCACUGAAAACACCAUAGAGCUCACCAUCGAUUCUCAUCAAGUGAGGGCCGAGUCAUCUGAUUGAAUUUGGCGAGUGAAGGAGGAAGAGAUGUCGUUUAAGUUGAGGAGCGUGAAGGUGCCGGCGAACUCGGCGAGUCUGGAAGAGGCAAGGGCUCGGGUCUUCGAUUUUUUCAGAACGGCCUGCAGAUCCAUUCCCCAAAUCAUGGACAUCUACAACCUACAGGACGUCGUCACAGUGUCCCAGCUCCGCUCCACCAUCGCCUCUGAGAUCCGCAAGAACUCUAGUAUCACCAAUUCCAAGGUAAUUGAUUUGCUUCUCUUCAAAGGAAUGGAAGAGCUGAGUAACAUUACAGAGCAUGCAAAGCAGCGUCAUCAUGUUAUUGGCCAAUAUGUAGUGGGUCAACAAGGUCUUGUGCAGGAUUUGGAUACCAAGGAUCAAGGCAUCUCUGAUUUCCUCAAGAACUUCUACAAGAGC